rnacentral:tRNA from 1 species
GGCACCGUAGCCAAGUGGUAAGGCAGGAGUCUGCAAAACUCUUAUACAGCGGUUCGAACCCGCUCGGUGCCU